rnacentral:rRNA from 1 species
GGUUCGAUUCUGGCUCAGAUUGAACGCUGGCGGGAUGUUUUACAUGCAAGUCGAACAACAGCACGGACUUCCGGUCUGGUGGCGAGUGGCGAACGGGUGAAGUAAUGUAUCGGAACGUGCCCUGAGCGGGGGAUAACUACGCGAAAGCGUAGCUAAUACCGCAUACGCCCUUCGGGGAAAGCAGGGGGACCUUCGGGCCUCGCACUAUUAGAGCGGCCGAUAUCGGAUUAGCUAGUUGGUGGGGUAACGGCUCACCAAGGCAGCGAUCCGUAGCUGGUUUGAGAGGACGACCAGCCACACUGGGACUGAGACACGGCCCAGACUCCUACGGGAGGCAGCAGUGAAAUUUUGGACAAUGGGGAAACCUGAUCAGCCAUCCCGCGUGUGCGAUGAAGGCCUUCGGGUUAUCAAAGCACUUUUGGCAGGAAAGAAACGGCACGGGAUAAUACCCCGUGCAACUGACGGUACCUGCAGAAUAAGCACCGGCUAACUACGUGCCAGCAGCCGCGGUAAUACGUAGGGUGCAGCGUUAAUCGGAAUUACUGGGCGUAAAGCGUGCGCGAGCGGUUCAGAGAAGAAAGUCUGAAAUCCCAGAGCUUAACUUUGGAACUGCAUUUUUAACUACCGAGCUAGAGUGUGUCAGAGGGAGGUGGGAAUUCCCGCGUGUAGCAGUGAAAUGCGUAGAUAUGCAGGAGGAACACCGAUGGCGAAGGCAGCCUCCUGGGAUAACACUGACGCUCAUGCACACGAAAAGCGUGGGGCAAACGGGAUUAGAUACCUGGUAGUCCACGCCCUAAACGAUGUCAACUAUUCGUCGGGGCCUUCGGGCCUUGGUAGCGCAACUAACGCGUGAAGUUGACCGCCUGGGAAAUUACGGUCGCAAAGAUUAAACUCAAAGGAAUUGACGGGGACCGCACAAGCGGUGGAUGAUCAUGGGUUAAUUCAGUGCAACGCGAAAAAAACCUUACCUACCCUUGACAUGUCUGGAAUCCCGAAGAGAUUUGGGAGUGCUCGCAAAGAGAACCGGAACACAGGUGCUGCAUGGCUGUCGUCAGCUCGUGUCGUGAGAUGUUGGGUUAGAUCCGCAACGAGCGCAACCCUUGUCGUGGGUUACACGAAAGGCGCUCUAUUAGAGCUGCCGGUGACAAACCCGGAGGAAGGUGGGGAUGACGUCAAGUCCUCAUGGCCCAUAUGGUGGGGCUUCUUGCGUCAUACAAUGAAUUCGAGACUGAAGGGUCGCCAACCCGCGAGAGAAGACCAAUCCCAAGAGCCGAUCGUCUGGUCCGGAUCGCAGUCUGCAACUCGACUGCUGGAAGUCGGAAUCGCUAGUAAUCGCGGAUCAGCAUGUCGCGGUGAAUACCGUUCCCGGGUCUUGUACACACACGCCGUCACACCAACUGCAGGGUGGGUUUUAUCAGAAGUAGUUAGCCUAACCGUAAGGGGAGGGCGAUUACCACGGUGACAAGUUCAUGACUGGGGUGAAGUCGUAACAAGGUAA